AAUGCAUCUAAAUAAACCAUUUUGGCAUACACUAUUUUUUUUCUUGAAAACGGAAGAAAAUCAUGAUCUUUCUUCUAUGGGAAUCUUUUUAUGGUUCCCUUUUUCAUUUGUUCCAUUUCAAGCUCUUUAUCUAAAAGCUAAUUAAUCUCUCAAGUUGUUCAUUUUGUUACACGCAACAGGGACCAGAGAUUCGAACUGGGU
rnacentral:misc_RNA from 1 species